UACGUAGGGGCAAGCGUUGUUCGGAUUUACUGGGCGUAAAGGGCGCGUAGGCGGUCAGCACAAGUCAGUUGUGAAAUCUCCGGGCUUAACUCGGAAAGGUCAACUGAUACUGUGCGACUAGAGUGCAGAAGGGGCAACUGGAAUUCUCGGUGUAGCGGUGAAAUGCGUAGAUAUCGAGAGGAACACCUGCGGCGAAGGCGGGUUGCUGGGCUGACACUGACGCUGAUGCGCGAAAGCCAGGGGAGCGAACGGG
rnacentral:rRNA from 1 species